UACGGAGGGGGCUAGCGUUGUUCGGAAUUACUGGGCGUAAAGCGCGCGUAGGCGGACCUGCAAGUCGGGGGUGAAAGCCCGAGGCUCAACCUCGGAACUGCCUUUGAUACUGCGGGUCUCGAGUCCGGGAGAGGUGAGUGGAAUUCCUGGUGUAGCGGUGAAAUGCGCAGAUAUCAGGAGGAACACCUAUGGCGAAGGCAGCUCGCUGGGACGGUACUGACGCUGAGGCGCGAAAGCGUGGGGAGCAAACAGG
rnacentral:rRNA from 1 species